GCGGCCUAUCAGCUUGUUGGUGGGGUGAUGGCCUACCAAGGCGAUGACGGGUAGCCGGCCUGAGAGGGCGACCGGCCACACUGGGACUGAGACACGGCCCAGACUCCUACGGGAGGCAGCAGUGGGGAAUAUUGCGCAAUGGGCGGAAGCCUGACGCAGCGACGCCGCGUGAGGGAUGACGGCCUUCGGGUUGUAAACCUCUUUCAGCAGGGACGAAGCGCAAGUGACGGUACCUGCAGAAGAAGCACCGGCCAACUACGUGCCAGCAGCCGCGGUAAUACGUAGGGUGCAAGCGUUGUCCGGAAUUAUUGGGCGUAAAGAGCUCGUAGGCGGCUUGUCACGUCGGGUGUGAAAGCCCGGGGCUUAACCCCGGGUCUGCAUUCGAUACGGGCUAGCUAGAGUGUGGUAGGGGAGAUCGGAAUUCCUGGUGUAGCGGUGAAAUGCGCAGAUAUCAGGAGGAACACCGGUGGCGAAGGCGGAUCUCUGGGCCAUUACUGACGCUGAGGAGCGAAAGCGUGGGGAGCGAACAGGAUUAGAUACCCUGGUAGUCCACGCCGUAAACGGUGGGAACUAGGUGUUGGCGACAUUCCACGUCGUCGGUGCCGCAGCUAACGCAUUAAGUUCCCCGCCUGGGGAGUACGG
rnacentral:rRNA from 1 species